CAUGCAAGUCGAACGGUAACAGGAAGCAGCUUGCUGCUUYGCUGACGAGUGGCGGACGGGUGAGUAAUGUCUGGGAAACUGCCUGAUGGAGGGGGAUAACUACUGGAAACGGUGGCUAAUACCGCAUAACGUCGCAAGACCAAAGAGGGGGACCUUCGGGCCUCUUGCCAUCAGAUGUGCCCAGAUGGGAUUAGCUUGUUGGUGAGGUAACGGCUCACCAAGGCGACGAUCCCUAGCUGGUCUGAGAGGAUGACCAGCCACACUGGAACUGAGACACGGUCCAGACUCCUACGGGAGGCAGCAGUGGGGAAUAUUGCACAAUGGGCGCAAGCCUGAUGCAGCCAUGCCGCGUGUAUGAAGAAGGCCUUCGGGUUGUAAAGUACUUUCAGCGGGGAGGAAGGUGUUGUGGU
rnacentral:rRNA from 1 species